rnacentral:rRNA from 1 species
UACCAGCACCCCGAGUGGUCGGGACGUUUAUUGGGCCUAAAGCAUCCGUAGCCGGUUCUACAAGUCUUCCGUUAAAUCCACCUGCUUAACAGAUGGGCUGCGGAAGAUACUAUGGAGCUAGGAGGCGGGAGAGGCAAGCGGUACUCGAUGGGUAGGGGUAAAAUCCGUUGAUCCAUUGAAGACCACCAGUGGCGAAGGCGGCUUGCCAGAACGCGCUCGACGGUGAGGGAUGAAAGCUGGGAGAGCAAACCGG